rnacentral:rRNA from 1 species
AUGAUUGCUUUUCGAGAUACUUUGGAGAUCUGCGGUCUAGUUGACCUUGGCUUCAUUGGUGUACCCUUUACAUAUGAUAAUAAGAGGGGAGGAGGAGGUAAUGUGAAGGUAAGAUUGGACAGGGCAGUUGCAACUAAUGAGUGGAGGAAUUUGUUUGCAUAUGCUUCGGUGGUGCAUGUUCCGUCGCGUUGUUCAGAUCAUGUGGCCCUUGUCCUCAAGGGUUCGGCCGAUCCGGGGCCGCUAGGUGGAAAGCAGAGGAGGUACGAGGUGUUUUGGGAGUGUGAUGAGUCACUACCUGAGGUGAUAAAGGAGGCCUGGGAAGCAAUGGGGGGUGUUCAUAAUAUGUCUCAGUUGCGGGCCUUGUCUAAAACAAUGACAACUCUCAGGGUUUGGAGCAAA